GAUGAACGCUGGCGGCGUGCCUAAUACAUGCAAGUCGAGCGAAUGGAUUAAGAGCUUGCUCUUAUGAAGUUAGCGGCGGACGGGUGAGUAACACGUGGGUAACCUGCCCAUAAGACUGGGAUAACUCCGGGAAACCGGGGCUAAUACCGGAUAACAUUUUGAACCGCAUGGUUCGAAAUUGAAAGUCGGCUUCGGCUGUCACUUAUGGAUGGACACGCGUCGCAUUAGCUAGUUGGUGAGGUAACGGCUCACCAAGGCAACGAUGCGUAGCCGACGUGAGAGGGUGAUCGGCCACACUGGGACUGAGACACGGCCCAGACUCCUACGGGAGGCAGCAGUAGGGAAUCUUCCGCAAUGGACGAAAGUCUGACGGAGCAACGCCGCGUGAGUGAUGAAGGCUUUCGGGUCGUAAAACUCUGUUGUUAGGGAAGAACAAGUGCUAGUUGAAUAAGCUGGCACCUUGACGGUACCUAACCAGAAAGCCACGGCUAACUACGUGCCAGCCGCCGCCGUAA
rnacentral:rRNA from 1 species